rnacentral:rRNA from 1 species
UAGAUAUUUUACAACAAAAUAAUUCGCCAGAGAGACUACUAGCAAUAGCUUAAAACUCAAAGGACUUGGCGGUGCUUUAUAUCCCUCUAGAGGAGCCUGUUCUAUAAUCGAUAAACCCCGAUAAACCUCACCACCCUUUGCUAAUUCAGUCUAUAUACCGCCAUCUUCAGCAAACAAAGAUUAG